ensembl:lncRNA
GGAUUCCCCCCCUCCCCCAAAUCUGAGUCCGUUGUUUUUGCAAAGCUUCUAUUCCGUUGGAACUUCGCUUGUAAGCUGACUUUAGUUUGGUGAGUCAGACUAUUCAUUGAAAUAGUGGCUGGGUGCCCAAGCCAAAGGCAGCAGGAUGGGGAGAGGCAGGUACAGCCACUUGCCAGUCAGAGACAACUGCUAACAAAGCUCUAGCCUCAGGGGGGAAUGUGAGUGAAUAGUUUUCUCUGACUCCACCUAAAAUUUGGGGGUCCCCCAUCCCCAUCCCAAGUCUCAAGUUUGGCCUUAGCAAGAAUUCUUAGAGCUCUCAAGCCUUUGGUGGAUGAGAAUAAAUUUGGAGAUGUCAAGAGAAGCAAGAGGAAGCAUGUAUGAUGCAUGGAAAGGAUCGCCGAACUUGGGAGUCACAAGAACGCAGUUCAAGUUUUGACUAUCUAUUAGUUUUCUACACAAACCUAAGUGCAACUGGUUUGGAAGAUAUUAAUGAUCCCAUAAACUAUUUGGCAAUUUGAACUGUCAUCAAUCACUCAGGAUCAUCUGGCUUCAUGAAGGAGGAUCUGAUUUGGUGUGAAGAAAAGCCAACUUUGAUUUUAGCCUAUUGAUUUUGUAACUUCAGAAACCUCAUUGAGACUCAUAUGUAAAAUGGGACCCUUACAUUAGUUCCCUGCCAAGAUUGUUGUACGGCAAUAAGUUGCUGACCAUACAAAGACAAAGGAUCCCAGCUCUCAAGGAACAUACGUUCUUGUGGAAGGUGGGGGGAGACAGACGACAUGGAAAAGACUCUUCUCCCCAACUGCAUUCAAGCCCAGGAUUCUUGGUUU